rnacentral:rRNA from 1 species
GACGAACCGUGCAAACGUUGUUCGGAAUCACUGGGCUUAAAGGGCGCGUAGGCGGCUCGCCAAGUCGGGGGUGAAAUCUUUCGGCUCAACCGGAAAAGUGCCUUCGAUACUGGCGGGCUGGAGGGAGGUAGGGGCAUGUGGAACUUCGGGUGGAGCGGUGAAAUGCGUUGAUAUCCGAAGGAACGCCGGUGGCGAAAGCGACGUGCUGGAUCUCUUCUGACGCUGAGGCGCGAAAGCUAGGGGAGCGAACGGG